rnacentral:rRNA from 1 species
UACGGUGAAUACGUUCCCGGACCUUGUACACGCCGCCCGUCAAGCCAUGGAAGCUGGGUGUACCUAAAGUCGGUAACCGCAAGGAGCCGCCUAGGGUAAAACUAGUAACUGGGGCU